AGCGAACGCUGGCGGCAGGCUUAACACAUGCAAGUCGAACGGGCGUAGCAAUACGUCAGUGGCAGACGGGUGAGUAACGCGUGGGAACGUACCUUUUGGUUCGGAACAACCCAGGGAAACUUGGGCUAAUACCGGAUAAGCCCUUACGGGGAAAGAUUUAUCGCCGAAAGAUCGGCCCGCGUCUGAUUAGCUAGUUGGUGAGGUAACGGCUCACCAAGGCGACGAUCAGUAGCUGGUCUGAGAGGAUGAUCAGCCACAUUGGGACUGAGACACGGCCCAAACUCCUACGGGAGGCAGCAGUGGGGAAUAUUGGACAAUGGGCGGCAAGCCUGAUCCAGCCAUGCCGCGUGGGUGAUGAAGGCCCUAGGGUUGUAAAGCUCUUUGUGCGGGAAGAUAAUGACGGUACCGCAAGAAUAAGCCCCGGCUAACUUCGUGCCAGCCGCCGCAGUAAG
rnacentral:rRNA from 1 species